UCUUAGAUUUGUCUAGAUACGGAUGUAUCUAAUACUAAAAUGUGACUUGAUACAUCCGUAUCUAGACAAAUCUAAGACAAGAAUUUUGGGACGGAGGGAGUACUUU
rnacentral:pre_miRNA from 1 species